UUAAUUAUGAGCGAAUCGGGUACUUAAAGAUGGCGGAUAAGGCCAAACGAAGAUUUACCUGAAAUAAUGAGCUUAAUGGGAAAAGAUUACAGAAGAAUCUCGGGCUUAGCGAAGCCUCUUGUGGAAUGCAAAACAGAGGCCCUUCUUUAUGGAAGCUGUGUGUCCCAGAACGACAACAUAACCAAGCAUGCCUGUGAUAAGGAGUUUCAAGCACUUAAAGCCUGCAUAAGACAAGCAGCAAAGAAAAUUAAAGUGUAGAGACUUGAAAAGAGAGAACAACUGCACCUAUUGCAGGAAAGUUCUGAAACAGGACGUCACAGGCAACCUACUCACUUUUUGCGUGGGGUAACAAUAUUAUAAGAGGAGACAUUUAGGCUUGUGAAAACUGAUAAAAAGAAUGUCUCUGUCGGUAAAUAUAUAAAUACGGUAAACUGCUGCUUAUAAGUGCCC